UCUGUUUUUAUUUCAAAUUCUAUCAUAUCCCUUGGAAGAUCUUACUUUGAGUGUUUCAAAAUGUUUGGGAAGUGGAAAUUGCUUUUUCUUAACAUUCAUUUGCUUUAUGUUAAACAUGAGAUUGCAGUUAGUGUAUACUUCUUGUUUGGGAAGUGGAAAAUGUAUGUGUUAACAGACAAUAUGGGCAGAACAAUUUCAUAUCCAUUAUGUGACAGCUGAACUGAUCGAAGACAUCUUUAGAGAGUCACACCGGCUGGAAACCUUUGAUGCUCUAAAACAAUACCAAAGAUAAGGGGACAAGUCCAAGAGUAUUUGCAGAUAAACAGUGCAUUAGUAGCCAAAAAACUGAGCGCAUGUCUUCUUUAAUUAAUUGAUCCCAGAGCUUAUACUAUCAAAAUAAAAGAAAAUUAUAGUUCAUAAAAGAUAUCAUACUGGAGCCUAGGGAAUCAAUUUUACUUUUCAAGGUUCAAUCUCUGCAUCUUGGUUGCAGGUUUCAAAAUCAUUGUUUUUAUACUCUAUAGUAAGGCAAGGAAUUGUCCGUGGAUAUUCGGUUUGUAUUCCAUAAACCAUGCUUUCUCUUCUCUUAUAAAGCAUCAUUAAAAGAAAAUACCAUGAACUAUAAGCUUGAACUUUCUUAUGAGAGCAUUCGGGGAACCCAGCUGUGUCGACCGAAAUACUUUAACGCUCGGUUUCUCGUAAUUCAGAUUUGAUAUCUUCAAAUAAGUUUAUUGUUCGAUAGUCUGAUAAUGGUCCUUAUAUUCCCUCCAGCAAGUAGUCAUCUUAGCACACUCCGUCAUUUUCUCAUAUGAAGAGCGAAAUUCAAGAAUCACUUAUCACAACUAGAAGAAUCAAAACCCAAUAAUUUAGUGAUAUAUUCACCUUUUGAGUAGUGGAGAGUGAAAAGGGAAUUGAUUCAGGAUGACUUACAUGUCGAGACAGUGGAUGGAAUUCCAUCUCACUGAUUGCGGGUUUCAUUCUGUCGAUAGAUUCGUCGUGGAUCUAUGAAGUGGUCAUCGUUUUUCGUUGAGCUGGUCAGGUGGUCCAGGAGGUGAAACUCAGCUAUGACGCAGGGCUCAUUGACUUUGAGUUGGAUCAGACAGGAUCUAUGCUUUUAAGUUAUUUCUUGGAUUGGACAUGCACAAUGGAAUUUGUUUACAUAAAAAGUGUGGCUCAGUUUCUUCAGAAGAAAAAAGUAAGUUGCAGUCAAGCUGGUUGCUUUGGAAUAGAACAUCAUCUGGAUAGGCCAUGCCUGCUUACGAUGCUUGCUGCUAGGGUUUAUGUAAUGCUCCUUUUUGAUAUCCUAGAAGGGGGUUGGGUUAUUUUUUCAUACAUUGAAUAAUCAGUGGUUUAUAAAUAACAACCCUGAAAGUGUACUUCAUGCGUCUGAAGAAUAAUGAAUCUGAUAGCGUUUUACGAGGACUCAGAGGAAACCCAUUCAACUGAUCUAUGUACACGUGCGGCAACGAGUGACGAGAAAAAUAGGACCUUGCUUUAAGAUGGGAUACUGUCUCCUUCGCUAUGUGGAGUGGUUAUUUGUUAUAAAAAGUAUGAGUUUCUUGUCUUCUCAGCAAUUCAACUUAAGUGACAAUUCUGCAUGGAUGUUUGCUUCAAAGGGUCCGUUGACAGCAGCUAGUAUCAGGGAGUGCAUAGGUGAUUUUCGAGAUUAUUAGGAACUUGGCCAAAUUUGCAGCAAGACUAGGUCAAUCUUUUGCUUCCUCGACAGAAACUUUAAGUGGCGAGUAAGGGCGGGUUGAAAAGUAUGCCAUCUGCCUUCUUCCAAAAUAGGUAUGGUGGAUCUAGUGGUUUUUCAGAAUCUUAAAAAGCAUGAGUAAAUUCACGUCACAGAACACCAAACUUGAUGUUCUAAAAUGGAGCAAGUUUCAGCCAUUUUUUCGUAAUCGUCAAGUAAUGAUCCUUUUGUCUAGGCAUCAGUGAUUAUGUAUUUGAAAAUGAACAAAAAAGAAGCAGUCUAUGAACUUGAUUCGAUAUAACCGGUCCACUAAGGGCAUGUGAAGCACUAGGGAUCCUGUCCGUAGCAGAAGCUUUUGUGUGAUUCCAAGGCUGAUCAAGAAUCAUUCCUUUCAGUGAUGCUUCAAACAGUUCAUGUGGCCAAGCUGUUAGAGUUACGGACUAAGACAUAGAUAUUUGUUGUUCCAAAGAGAAGAUCUAUGAUCAGAUACAUAGAUGAAGCGGCGACCUUGGAGUAUGGGAAGGUAUUCGUUCAGGUUUCUUGCCUUGGUCGCGAACAGUCUGUGGAGAUUCACACUCUAUGCUUAAUGAGAAUGGACCAGAGGACAAUAACUUUGUUGUACUUGGAAAGGUCAGCAUUGCUAAAAAUCCGUUGCUGCACCCUGGUGAUAUGUGUCUUGCAGGCUGUCGAUGUGCCAGCGCCAUAUGGUGGAUUGUGUUUUAUUUCCUCGAUAAGGAAAAAGACCCCAUCCAAAUGAAUGUUCAGAGAGUGAUUUUAAAAGUGACGAGUGACUUAUACUUUGUCUGUUGCACCUCAUUCAAAUCGAGCCUAUGUACGAUGAUGCAGCACCUAUAAUAAGGCUCUUGGAUCAUGGUAUGUCAGAUUGAGGUCUGGGUACUGUGGUUUUUGUAAGCAGUUAUUCUACUUGGUCAUUCUUGUCUUUAAGUAGCAGAAGCAGUUUAUACCCGACACCUCUAUAUCAUGGAAAGGUUUUUUUCUUAUCUUUUCUGGAAACAGAUUAAGCCGGCAAAACAAAGUUAGGACUCCGGACUCUCUAUAGCUUUCAAGUUAAAAAUGUUAAAAAUUAAUCUCUUAUGGCAUUAAGACAGGUCAGCCAGUAGAGUCAGACAAUAUGAAAAGGUUAGCGCUAGAAAUUAUGUACAUGAUCAUGAUUGACUAUUUAUGUAAAAUUUCAUAUUUUUCUCCUUUUAUCUUUGAAAACAAGAUACCAUUGUUGUA